rnacentral:rRNA from 1 species
AGAGUUUGAUCCUGGCUCAGAACGAACGCUGGCGGCAUGCCUAACACAUGCAAGUCGAACGAAGGCCCGGGGCUUGCCCCGGUCACCUUAGUGGCGAACGGGUGAGUAACGCGUGGGAACCUGCCCAGGAGCGGGGAACAACCACUGGAAACGGUGGCUAAUACCGCAUACGACCUCCGGGUGAAAGGCUUCGGCCACUCUUGGAUGGUCCCGCGUCUGAUUAGCUUGUUGGUGUGGUAAAGGCGCACCAAGGCGACGAUCAGUAGCUGGUCUGAGAGGAUGAUCAGCCACACUGGGACUGAGACACGGACCAGACUCCUACGGCAGGCACCAGUGGGGAAUAUUGCACAAUGGGCGAAAGCAUGAUCCAGCCAUGCCGCUUGAAUGAAGAAAGCCUUAUGGUUGUAAAACUCUUUCUCCGGUGAAGAUGAUGACUGUAACCGGUAAAGAAGCUCCGGCUAACUCCGUGCACGCUGCCGCGGCAAUACAAGAGGUGCUAGCAAUGUUCGCAAUUAUUGGGCCAAAUGAACGCGAUGGCCGUUUUAUCUAAAUUGAGGUUGAAAGCCCAGGACUUCGACUCCAGGAACUGCGGUUUAAUACUGGGCAAACCACAAGACCUGUAGAAGGUCGCGCGAAUUUCCUCAGUCGC